rnacentral:rRNA from 1 species
GGGUCAGUAGGUUGGUCGUGCCACCGGUACGUACUGGUCUCACUGAUACCUCCUUCCUGAAGAACCGUAAUGCCAUUAAUUUGGUGUUGCGGGGAAACAGGACUGUCACUUUGAAAAAAUUAGAGUGUUUAAAGCAAGCUAACGCUUGAAUACAUUAGCAUGGAAUAAUGAAAUAGGACGAUCGAUCCUAUUUUGUUGGUUUCUAGGAUUGACGUA